UGCAUGUUCAUGUUGCACACCAUAUCGUGUGCAGAUUGAGUGCAAAUGCUGCACAGAAUACCCAGAGCUGAUGGAAAGGAUGGACGAGGCAGGGGUAAAGUGCAUAACUGAGCAUACUGGCUUCAAAGCUAACUGUCUCCAUCCAGAUGUCAUUGAAGUUUCGUUUUAUGAGUUCCUUGAUGUAAAUGGUCCCAUCGCAGCUCUGCCAUUAGUUCAUCAACAUAGUCUGAAAGUUAUAUUAAAAUAAAUUAUAAUUAUUGAUAAAUUGUUCCUUCUUAUUAGAGAAUAAUACACAAUGAAUGUUU